rnacentral:rRNA from 1 species
AGCGAACGCUAGCGGGAUGCCUCAAACAUGCAAGUCGCACGCGAAAGUCUUCGGACAAGUAGAGUGGCGCACGGGUGAGUAACACGUAGCUAAUGUACCUCUUCGCUGGGGAUAACUCCGGGAAACCGGAGCUAAUACCGAAUGAUUUGUCAGGGUCUGCGGACCUUGCCAGUAAAGCCGCAAGGCGCGAAGAGAUCAGGCUGCGGCCUAUUAGCUUGUUGGUAGGGUAACGGCCUACCAAGGCUACGAUAGGUAGCUGGUCUGAGAGGAUGACCAGCCACACUGGAACUGAAACACGGUCCAGACUCCCACGGGAGGCAGCAGUUGGGAAUAUUGGACAAUGGGGGUAACCCUGAUCCAGCAAUCCCGCGUGAGUGACGAAGGCCUCGGUUGUAAGCUCUUUGUCUAGGAGCGAAAUACCUACGCGGCGUAAUAAUCCGUUGGGGAGUGAGAGUACUUGAAGAAUA